rnacentral:SRP_RNA from 2 species
GCUGGGCAUGGUGGUGUGUGCCUAUAGUCUCAGGUACCUGGGAGGCUGAGACAAGAGGAUUGCUUGAGCCCAGGAGGUUGAGGAUGCAGUGAGCCGUGAUCAUGGCACUGCACUCCAGCCUGAGCAACACAGCAAGACCCUGUCUCAA